GUUACCAUUAGUGAGAGAUACGUUUAAAAUUAGAUUUUAGCCUUUAGAGCCAAAUCGUAACGUUUAGGGAAUUUUGGGGCCAAGAUGGGUUAAGUUUAAGGUUUGGAAGUCGGAUUAGCGCAGCGGUCCGAAUUGGAGGUUAUCGGUUAAGGUUAGGGUGAAGGUUAGGUUUAGGGCUAGGUUUUAGGGUUAGGUUUAAGAUAAAGGUUAAGUUUAGUGCUAGGUUAUGGUUAGGUUUAGAGCUAUGUUUUAGGAUCAGGCGACGGUUAAGUUUGGGGUUAAGGUUAGGGUUAGGGCUAGGUUUUAGGGUUAGGUUUAAGAUAAAGGUUAUGUUUAGGGCUAGGUUAUGGUUAGGUUUAGAGCUAUGU